rnacentral:rRNA from 1 species
GACGAACGCUGGCGGCGUGCUUAACACAUGCAAGUCGAACGGAAAGGCCCUGCUUGCAGGGUACUCGAGUGGCGAACGGGUGAGUAACACGUGGGUGAUCUGCCCUGCACUUCGGGAUAAGCCUGGGAAACUGGGUCUAAUACCGGAUAGGAGCCAUUUUUAGUGUGAUGGUUGGAAAGUUUUUUCGGUGUAGGAUGAGCUCGCGGCCUAUCAGCUUGUUGGUGGGGUAAUGGCCUACCAAGGCGGCGACGGGUAGCCGGCCUGAGAGGGUGGACGGCCACAUUGGGACUGAGAUACGGCCCAGACUCCUACGGGAGGCAGCAGUGGGGAAUAUUGCACAAUGGGCGCAAGCCUGAUGCAGCGACGCCGCGUGGGGGAUGACGGCCUUCGGGUUGUAAACUCCUUUCGCUAGGGACGAAGCUUUUUGCGACGGUAACUAGAUAAGAAGCACCGGCUAACUACGUG